rnacentral:rRNA from 1 species
GCCCUAUACCCGUUAAGGCAUGAUUGCCUGUACCCGAAACCGACACAGGUGGGGUGGUAGAGAAUACCGAGGGGCGCGAGGUAACUCUCUCUAAGGAACUCGGCAAAAUGGCCCCGUAACAUCGGGAGGAGGGGUGCCACCGCAAGGUGGUCGCAGUGAAGAGGCCCAGGCGACUGUUUACCAAAAACACAGGUCUCCGCUAAGUCGCAAGACGAUGUAUGGGGGCUGACGCCUGCCCAGUGCCGGAAGGUUAAGGAAGCUGGUCAGCGUAAGCGAAGCUGGCGACUGAAGCCCCGGUGAACGGCGGCCGUAACAAUAACGGUCCUAAGGUAGCGAAAUUCCUUGUCGGGUAAGUUCCGACCCGCACGAAAGGCGUAACGAUCUGGGCGCUGUCUCGGAGAGAGGCUCGGCGAAAUAGAAUUGUCUGUGAAGAUGCGGACUACGUGCACCCGGACAGAAAGACCCUAUGAAGCUUUACUGUAGCUUGGUAUUGUGCCCGGGCUCGCAAUGCGCAGGAUAGGUGGGAGGCUUUGAUCAUAGGCUUGCGGGUCGAUGUGAGCCACUGGUGAGAUACCACUCUUUGCGAGCUAGGGUUCUAACGGCCACCCGUGAUCCGGGGGCCGGACAGUAUCAGGUGGGCAGUUUGACUGGGGCGGUCGCCUCCUAAAAGGUAACGGAGGCGCGCAAAGGUUCCCUCAGGCUGGUUGGAAAUCAGCCGACGAGUGUAAAGGCAGAAGGGAGCUUGACUGUGAGACCUACAAGUCGAACAGGGACGAAAGUCGGCCUUAGUGAUCCGACGGUUCUGAGUGGAAGGGCCGUCGCUCAACGGAUAAAAGUUACUCUAGGAUAACAGGCUGAUCUCCCCCAAGAGUUCACAUCGACGGGGAGGUUUGGCACCUCGAUGUCGGCUCAUCGCAACCUGGGGCUGAAGUCGGUCCCAAGGGUUGGGCUGUUCGCCCAUUAAAGCGGUACGCGAGCUGGGUUCAGAACGUCGUGAGACAAUUCGGUCCAUAUCCGGUGCAUGCGCAGGAAUAUUGAGAGGAGUUCUCCCUAGUACGAGAGGACCGGGAGGAACGCACCUCUGGUGUACCAGUUAUCGUGCCAACGGUAAACGCUGGGUAGCCAUGUGCGGAGAGGAUAACCGCUGAAAGCAUCUAAGUGGGAAGCCCACCUCAAGAUGAGUAUUCCCAUGGCAUAAGCCAGUAAGGUCACGGGAAGAACACCCGUU